GAUGAAGAACGCAGCGAAAUGCGAUAAGUAAUGCGAAUUGCAGAAUUUCCGUGAGUCAUCGAAUCUUUGAACGCACAUUGCGCCCACUGGUAUUCCGGGGGGCAUGCCUGUUCGAGCGUCAUUUCAACCCUCAAGCUCUGCUUGGUAUUGGGCUCCGUCCUCCUCGGACGCGCCUCAAAGACCUCGGCGGUGGCGUCUUGCCUCAAGCGUAGUAGAAACACCUCGCUUUGGAGUGCAUGGCGUCGCCCGCCGGACGAAACCUUUUGUAUUUUCUCAAAGGUUGACCUCGGAUCAGGUAGGGAUACCCGCUGAACUUAAGCAUAUCAAUAAGCGGAGGA
rnacentral:misc_RNA from 1 species